AAAUCGGCCCUUUUUAGGGCCACUAUGAUGUACAAAUCCGACCGAG
rfam:Cerapachys biroi unplaced genomic scaffold scaffold143, whole genome shotgun sequence.